rnacentral:rRNA from 1 species
AUUGAACGCUAGCGGGAUGCCUUACACAUGCAAGUCGAACGAGUGGCGAACGGGUGAGUAAUGUAUCGGAACGUGCCCAGUAGCGGGGGAUACCUCGGCAAAGGGUACCUAUUCCGGCUACCUUUUGGAGGGGCCGUUAUCGGUUUGGCUGUUGGGUGGGUUAACGGCUCACCAAGGCGACGAUCCGUACCGGGUUUGAGAGGACGACCAGCCACACUGGGACUGAGACACGGCCCAGACUCCUACGGGAGGCAGCAGUGGGGAAUUGUGGACAAUGGGGGAAACCCUGAUCCAGCCAUCCCGCGUGUGCGAUGAAGGCCUUCGGGUUGUAAAGCACUUUUGGCAGGAAAGCGGUACCUGCAGAAUAAGCACCGGCUAACUACGUGCCAGCAGCCGCGGUAAUUC